AGAGUUUGAUCUGGCUCAGGAUGAACGCUGGCGGCGUGCCUAACACAUGCAAGUCGAACGGUUAAACCGCCCUCGGGCGGACAUACAGUGGCGAACGGGUGAGUAACACGUGACCAACCUGCCCCGCGCUCCGGGACAACCGCUGGAAACGGCGGCUAAUACCGGAUACUCCGCGGCCCCCGCAUGGGGGCGGCGGGAAAGCCCCGACGGCGCGGGAUGGGGUCGCGGCCCAUUAGGUAGUAGGCGGGGUAGAGGCCCACCUAGCCGACGAUGGGUAGCCGGACUGAGAGGUCGAUCGGCCACAUUGGGACUGAGGUACGGCCCAGACUCCUACGGGAGGCAGCAGUGGGGAAUUUUGCGCAAUGGGGGAGACCCUGACGCAGCAACGCCGCGUGCGGGACGAAGGCCCUCGGGUCGUAAACCGCUUUCAGCAGGGAAGACCACGACGGUACCUGCAGAAGAAGCUCCGGCUAACUACGUGCCAGCAGCCGCGGUAAUACGUAGGGGGCGAGCGUUAUCCGGAUUCAUUGGGCGUAAAGCGCGCGUAGGCGGCCGCCUAAGCGGAACCUCUAACCCCGGGGCUCAACCUCGGGCCGGGUUCCGGACUGGGCGGCUCGAGUGCGGUAGAGGAGAGCGGAAUUCCCGGUGUAGCGGUGGAAUGCGCAGAUAUCGGGAAGAACACCGAUGGCGAAGGCAGCUCUCUGGGCCGUCACUGACGCUGAGGCGCGAAAGCUGGGGGAGCGAACAGGAUUAGAUACCCUGGUAGUCCCAGCCGUAAACGAUGGAUACUAGGUGGGGGGGGAUCCCCCCUCCCGGGCGGCAGCCAAACGCAUUAAGUAUCCCGCCUGGGGAGGUACGGCCGCAAAGGCUAAAACUCAAAGGAAUUGACGGGGGCCCGCACAAGCAGCGGAGCAUGUGGCUUAAUUCGAAGCAACGCGAAGAACCUUACCAGGGCUUGACAUGCGCCUGAAGCCGCGGAGACGCGGUGGCCGAGAGGAGGGCGCGCAGGUGGUGCAUGGCUGUCGUCAGCUCGUGUCGUGAGAUGUUGGGUUAAGUCCCGCAACGAGCGCAACCCCCGUCCCGUGUUGCCAGCAUUAGGUUGGGGACUCGCGGGAGACUGCCGGCGUCAAGCCGGAGGAAGGUGGGGACGACGUCAAGUCAUCAUGCCCCUUAUGCCCUGGGCUGCACACGUGCUACAAUGGCCGGUACAGAGGGUUGCCACCCCGCGAGGGGGAGCGGAUCCCGGAAAGCCGGCCCCAGUUCGGAUCGCAGGCUGCAACCCGCCUGCGAGAAGCCGGAGUUGCUAGUAAUCGCGGAUCAGCACGCCGCGGUGAAUACGUUCCCGGGCCUUGCACACACCGCCCGUCA
rnacentral:rRNA from 1 species